UACGGAGGGUGCGAGCGUUGUCCGGAAUCACUGGGCGUAAAGGGCGCGUAGGCGGCGCGGAUAGUCGAUGGUGAAAGCUCGCCGCUCAACGGCGAGUCGGCCACCGAUACUGGGUUGCUGGAGCACUGUAGAGGCUCAUGGAAUUCCGGGUGUAGCGGUGGAAUGCGUAGAGAUCCGGAAGAACACCGGUGGCGAAGGCGGUGAGCUGGGCAGUUGCUGACACUGAGGCGCGACAGCGUGGGGAGCAAACAGG
rnacentral:rRNA from 1 species